rnacentral:rRNA from 1 species
GACGAACGCUGGCGGCGUGCCUAAUACAUGCAAGUUGAGCGAUGAAGAUUGGUGCUUGCACCAAUUUGAAGAGCAGCGAACGGGUGAGUAACGCGUGGGGAAUCUGCCUUUGAGCGGGGGACAACAUUUGGAAACGAAUGCUAAUACCGCAUAAUAACUUUAAACAUAAGUUUUAAGUUUGAAAGAUGCAAUUGCAUCACUCAAAGAUGAUCCCGCGUUGUAUUAGCUAGUUGGUGAGGUAAAGGCUCACCAAGGCGAUGAUACAUAGCCGACCUGAGAGGGUGAUCGGUCACAUUGGGACUGAGACACGGCCCAAACUCCUACGGGAGGCAGCAGUAGGGAAUCUUCGGCAAUGGACGAAAGUCUGACCGAGCAACGCCGCGUGAGUGAAGAAGGUUUUCGGAUCGUAAAACUCUGUUGGUAGAGAAGAACGUUGGUGAGAGUGGAAAGCUCAUCAAGUGACGGUAACUACCCAGAAAGGGACGGCUAACUACGU